rnacentral:misc_RNA from 1 species
GAUGAAGAACGCAGCGAAAUGCGAUAAGUAAUGUGAAUUGCAGAAUUCAGUGAGUCAUCGAAUCUUUGAACGCACAUUGCGCCCGCCAGUAUUCUGGCGGGCAUGCCUGUUCGAGCGUCAUUUCAACCAUCAAGCCCCCGGGCUUGUGUUGGGGACCUGCGGCUGCCGCAGGCCCUGAAAAGCAGUGGCGGGCUCGCUGUCACACCGAGCGUAGUAGAUUUUAUCUCGCUCUGGGCGUGCUGCGGGUUCCGGCCGUUAAACCACCCUUUUAACCCAAGGUUGACCUCGGAUCAGGUAGGAAGACCCGCUGAACUUAAGCAUAUCAAUAAGCGGAGGA